rnacentral:rRNA from 1 species
UCUUUUCCCACCGGAGCUUGCUCCACCGGGAAAAGAGGAGUGGCGAACGGGUGAGUAACACGUGGGUAACCUGCCCAUCAGAAGGGGAUAACACUUGGAAACAGGUGCUAAUACCGUAUAACAAUCGAAACCGCAUGGUUUCGUUUUGAAAGGCGCUUUACGGUGCCGCUGAUGGAUGGACCCGCGGUGCAUUAGCUAGUUGGUGAGGUAACGGCUCACCAAGGCCACGAUGCAUAGCCGACCUGAGAGGGUGAUCGGCCACAUUGGGACUGAGACACGGCCCAAACUCCUACGGGAGGCAGCAGUAGGGAAUCUUCGGCAAUGGACGAAAGUCUGACCGAGCAACGCCGCGUGAGUGAAGAAGGUUUUCGGAUCGUAAAACUCUGUUGUUAGAGAAGAACAAGGGUGAGAGUAACUGUUCACCCCUUGACGGUAUCUAACCAGAAAGCCACGGCUAACUACGUGCCAGCAGCCGCGGUAAUACGUAGGUGGCAAGCGUUGUCCGGAUUUAUUGGGCGUAAAGCGAGCGCAGGCGGUUUCUUAAGUCUGAUGUGAAAGCCCCCGGCUCAACCGGGGAGGGUCAUUGGAAACUGGGAGACUUGAGUGCAGAAGAGGAGAGUGGAAUUCCAUGUGUAGCGGUGAAAUGCGUAGAUAUAUGGAGGAACACCAGUGGCGAAGGCGGCUCUCUGGUCUGUAACUGACGCUGA